rnacentral:rRNA from 1 species
CUACGUGCCAGCAGCCGCGGUAAUACGUAGGUGGCAAGCGUUGUCCGGAUUUAUUGGGCGUAAAGCGAGCGCAGGCGGUUCCUUAAGUCUGAUGUGAAAGCCCCCGGCUCAACCGGGGAGGGUCAUUGGAAACUGGGGAACUUGAGUGCAGAAGAGGAGAGUGGAAUUCCAGGUGUAGCGGUGAAAUGCGUAGAGAUCUGGAGGAAUACCGGUGGCGAAGGCGGCCCCCUGGACAAAGACUGACGCUCAGGUGCGAAAGCGUGGGGAGCAAACAGGAUUAGAUACCCUGGUAGUCCACGCCGUAAACGAUGUCGACUUGGAGGUUGUGCCCUUGAGGCGUGGCUUCCGGAGCUAACGCGUUAAGUCGACCGCCUGGGGAGUACGGCCGCAAGGUUAAAACUCAAAUGAAUUGACGGGGGCCCGCACAAGCGGUGGAGCAUGUGGUUUAAUUCGAUGCAACGCGAAGAACCUUACCUACUCUUGACAUCCAGA